CGCCAGACUCCUACGGGAGGCAGCAGUGGGGAAUAUUGCACAAUGGGGGAAACCCUGAUGCAGCGACGCCGCGUGAGUGAUGAAGUAUUUCGGUAUGUAAAGCUCUAUCAGCAGGGAAGAUAAUGACGGUACCUGACUAAGAAGCUCCGGCUAAAUACGUGCCAGCAGCCGCGGUAAUACGGAGGAUGCGAGCGUUAUCCGGAUUUAUUGGGUUUAAAGGGUGCGCAGGCGGAGGUGCAAGUCAGCGGUCAAAUUGCGGGGCUCAACCCCGUACUGCCGUUGAAACUGCAUCCCUUGAGUGCGCGAGAAGUAUGCGGAAUGCGUGGUGUAGCGGUGAAAUGCAUAGAUAUCACGCAGAACUCCGAUUGCGAAGGCAGCAUACCGGCGCGCAACUGGCGCCCAUGCACGAAAGCGUGGGUAUCGAACAGGAUUAGAUACCCGGGUA
rnacentral:rRNA from 1 species